rnacentral:ncRNA from 1 species
GUCUUGUAUGAAAGGAGAGAAGGUUAGCACUCCCCUCUUGACAAGGAUGGAAGAGGCCCUCAGGCCUGACAACACACGUAUGGUUAAGGUAUUGCCACCUACUUCAUGGCAUCUAACCACUGUUUUUC